rnacentral:tRNA from 1 species
AAAAAGGUAAGCUAAAUAAAGCUAAUGGGUUCAUACCCCGUAAAUAGGACCUGCCUCCUUUUUA